ACGCGUGGAACCUUACCUACCCUUGACAUGUCAGGAAUGCCGAAGAGAUUUGGCAGUGCCCGAAAGGGAACCUGAACACAGGUGCUGCAUGGCUGUCGUCAGCUCGUGUCGUGAGAUGUUGGGUUAAGUCCCCGCAACGAGCGCAACCCUUGUCAUUAGUUGCUACAUUCAGUUGGGCACUCUAAUGAGACUGCCGGUGACAAACCGGAGGAAGGUGGGGAUGACGUCAAGUCCUCAUGGCCCUUAUGGG
rnacentral:rRNA from 1 species